GACGAACGCUGGCGGCGUGCUUAACACAUGCAAGUCGAACGGAGUGGCGCACGGGUGAGUAACACGUGGGUGAUCUGCCUUGCACUUCGGGAUAAGCUUGGGAAACUGGGUCUAAUACCUGAUAGUGCAAGAUGCGCUCGCGGCCUAUCAGCUUGUUGGUGGGGUAAUGGCCUACCAAGGCGUCGACGGGUAGCCGGCCUGAGAGGGUGUACGGGUACAGUGGGACUGAGAUACGGACCAGACGACUACGGGAGGCAGCAGUGGGGAAGAUUGCACAAUGGGCGGAAGCAUGAUGAAGAGACGCUGGGUGGGGGAUGAAGGCCUUCGGGUGGUAAACUCCUUGAGACAGGGACGCGGUACCUGUAUAAGAAGCACCGGCUAACUACGUGCCAGCAGCCGCGGUAAUAC
rnacentral:rRNA from 1 species